rnacentral:rRNA from 1 species
GCUCAACCCCGUCGUGCCCGUUGAAACUGGCGUUCUUGAGUGAGCGAGAAGUAUGCGGAAUGCGUGGUGUAGCGGUGAAAUGCAUAGAUAUCACGCAGAACUCCGAUUGCGAAGGCAGCAUACCGGCGCUCAACUGACGCUCAUGCACGAAAGCGUGGGUAUCGAACAGGAUUAGAUACCCUGGUAGUCCACGCAGUAAACGAUGAAUACUAACUGUCCGGGCCGAUUGAGGUCUGGGUGGUACAGCGAAAGCGUUAAGUAUUCCACCUGGGGAGUACGCCGGCAACGGUGAAACUCAAAGGAAUUGACGGGGGCCCGCACAAGCGGAGGAACAUGUGGUUUAAUUCGAUGAUACGCGAGGAACCUUACCCGGGCUCAAACGACGGAUGGAUGUCUCUGAAAGGAGGCAGUCCUACGGGACAUCCGUCGAGGUGCUGCAUGGUUGUCGUCAGCUCGUGCCGUGAGGUGUCGGCUUAAGUGCCAUAACGAGCGCAACCCCCAUCGCCAGUUACCAGCAAGUAAAGUUGGGGACUCUGGCGAGACUGCCGGCGCAAGCUGUGAGGAAGGCGGGGAUGACGUCAAAUCAGCACGGCCCUUACGUCCGGGGCGACACACGUGUUACAAUGGCAGGUACAGAGAGAAGCGAUGCGGCGACGCAGAGCGGAACUUCAAAGCCUGUCUCAGUUCGGAUUGGAGUCUGCAACCCGACUCCAUGAAGCUGGAUUCGCUAGUAAUCGCGCAUCAGCCACGGCGCGGUGAAUA